UGCAGCAUAGCGGCACGGCUCCUCGGCACGAAGGCCGGACAUAGAGACAAGGCGUAAGUUCACCUAGGGCUUGACGGGCUGCUUGGGUGUUUCAUCGAACACGUGAUCACGAGGUGGAUGGCAGCCGGCUCGGUACUUGGCCAGCAGACUAGUACACAGCGAGCUGGUGAUUCAGGCAUAUCAUCGAACAGGUCGUGGGUGAGGUGGAUGAAGGCACUUGCGGUCGUCGGCGUCGCUACGGCGCCUCUGCUCCCUCAUCCGGUCGUCGAUGUCCUUGCUGGCUUGGUGAAGGGGCGGCGCGCGGCGCCGUCAGCGGUGGCACGCGGCAGCGAUGGCGUAGUUGCGGCUUGUGUUCCUCCUGGUGCUUGGCAUAGCUGAGGCAGGGCAGCGGCUUGGCGCAGACACGAUGCAGCUCCCCUCCGCUUCGGCCCGGUUUUCUUCUCCCCUUCCUUGCGUCCUGCUUGGUGUAGUCGUCUCCGACGGUGAGGAUGCAGCUCGGACCGGACGGCAGUGCGGCCAGCUCUUCAUCCACAUGGUGACACGGUGCUCUUCCUCUUCCCCGGUCGACGGUGCUGCAGGCGCCCUCUCCUUCUUCCUCCUCCUUCUCCUCAUCCCUCCUCCUUUCUCUGGUCCGCUCUUCUCUCUCGCGAUGGGGUUUUCUCUCGGAUUGGCUUGGAGCAAGAAGAGGCGGCGGUUUGGAAGGCUGGAGAGGGAGC
rnacentral:lncRNA from 1 species